GAGUUUGAUCAUGGCUCAGGAUGAACGCUAGCGGCAGGCUUAAUACAUGCAAGUCGAGGGGCAGCAUAGUGUAGCAAUACAUGGGUGGCGACCGGCAAACGGGUGCGGAACACGUACAGAACCUUCCUUCGAGCGGGGAAUAGCCCAGAGAAAUUUGGAUUAAUACCCCAUAGGAUAGUGGAGUGGCAUCACUCAGCUAUUAAAGAUUUAUCACUUGAAGAUGGCUGUGCGUCUGAUUAGGUAGUUGGCGGGGUAACGGCCCACCAAGCCAGCGAUCAGUAACUGGUGUGAGAGCACGACCAGUCACACGGGCACUGAGACACGGGCCCGACUCCUACGGGAGGCAGCAGUAAGGAAUAUUGGUCAAUGGACGCAAGUCUGAACCAGCCAUGCCGCGUGGAGGAUGAAGGUCCUCUGGAUUGUAAACUUCUUUUAUCUGGGACGAAAAAAGGCCUUUACUAGGUCGACUGACGGUACCAGAUGAAUAAGCACCGGCUAACUCCGUGCC
rnacentral:rRNA from 1 species